AAUCAACGCUGGCGGCGUGCCUAACACAUGCAAGUCGCACGAGAAAGCGGACUUCGGUCUGUGAGUACAGUGGCGUACGGGUGAGUAACACGUGAAUCAUCUACCUUCGAGUGGGGAAUAACUGGGAGAAAUCUCAGCUAAUACCGCAUAACACCUACGGGUCAAAGCAGCAAUGCGCUUGAAGAGGAGUUCGCGGCAGAUUAGUUAGUUGGCGGGGUAAUGGCCCACCAAGACGAUGAUCUGUAUCCGGCCUGAGAGGGCGCACGGACACACUGGAACUGAAACACGGUCCAGACUCCUACGGGAGGCAGCAGUGGGGAAUUUUGCGCAAUGGGGGAAACCCUGACGCAGCAACGCCGCGUGGAGGAUGAAAUCCCUUGGGAUGUGAACUCCUUUCGAUCGGGACGAUUAUGACGGUACCGAUAGAAGAAGCCCCGGCUAACUUCGUGCCAGCCGCCGCUGUAA
rnacentral:rRNA from 1 species